GACGAACGCUGGCGGCGUGCUUAACACAUGCAAGUCGAACGGAAAGGCCCUGCUUUUGUGGGGUGCUCGAGUGGCGCACGGGUGAGUAACACGUGAGUAACCUGCCCUUGACUUUGUGAUAACUUCAGGAAACUGGGGCUAAUACCGGAUAGGAGCUCCUGCUGCAUGGUGGGGGUUGGAAAGUUUCGGCGGUUGGGGAUGGACUCGCGGCUUAUCAGCUUGUUGGUGGGGUAGUGGCUUACAAAGGCUUUGACGGGUAGCCGGCCUGAGAGGGUGACCGGCCACAUUGGGACUGAGGGACGGCCCAGACUCCAACGGGAGGCAGCAGGGGGGAGUAUUGCACAGUGGGGGGACGCCUGAUGCAGCAACCCCGCGUGCGGAAUGACGGCCUUCGGGUUGUAAACCGCUUUCUCCUGUGACGAAGCGGGAGUGACGGUAACGGGUAAAGAAGCACCGGCUAACUACGUG
rnacentral:rRNA from 1 species